ACUUUACUCCAGGCCUCUCUCCCCCAUGUCAAGCUCACUUGCUCGCACCUACUUGUACAUGCCGCAGUCAUGCUGGGGAAACCAAGCAGUGAUCCAUUGGUAUUUGGAUACUCUGAGCUCAAAUGUUUCCCACUGAAAUGACAAAUGAAAGGAAUAAUGCAUACAUCUUCAGUGUUUUUUUGAAGUAAUUAAGAAUCACAUGUUAAAGUUGCACCAUGUGCACCAUCUGUCACAUUUCUCCUGACAUUUGGCUUCUGACAAACUGGUGGUUGUGCAUGUGACUAGACCCAGCUGAAUGCAGGGCAGUGACAUGGGUGAGAGAGUGUUCGGUGAAUAGCAACUCCGGCUAACAUACAGGCUGCCCCCAUCGGGACCACAUACAGGCCGCCCCCAUCGGGACCACAUACAGGCCGCCCCCAUCGGGACCACAUACAGGCCGCCCCCAUCGGGACCACAUACAGGCUGUCCCCAUCGGGACCACAUACAGACCGCCACAAUCAGGACCACAUACAGGCCGCCCCCAUCGGUACCACAUACAGGCAGCCACCAUCAGUACCACAUACAGACAGCCCCCAUCAGUACCACAUACAGGCAGCCCCCAUUAGUACCACAUACAGGUCCCCCAUCAGUACCACAUACAGGCUGCCCCCAUCGGGACCACAUACAGGCCGCCCCCAUCGGGACCACAUACAGGCCGCCCCCAUCGGGACCACAUACAGACCGCCACAAUCAGGACCACAUACAGGCCGCCCCCAUCGGUACCACAUACAGGCAGCCACCAUCAGUACCACAUACAGACAGCCCCCAUCAGUACCACAUACAGGCAGCCCCCAUUAGUACCACAUACAGGUCCCCCAUCAGUACCACAUACAGGCAGCCACCAUCA